GUGCUCGCUUCAGCAGCACAUAGACUAAAAUUGAAUCAAUACAGAGAAGAUUAGCAUGGCCCCUGCGUAAGGAUGACACACAAAUUCAUGAAGCGUUCCACAUUUUU
rnacentral:snRNA from 1 species